UGACCUCUGACCUCAAAUCAGGUAGGACUACCCGCUGAACUUAAGCAUAUCAAUAAGCCG
rnacentral:rRNA from 1 species